UAGGAAUGUCCAAACCUCCAGCCAAUAUAACUAUGUUCCAAUUCUUCAGCGGGAUUGAAAAAAAAUUAAAGGAAACAUUAGCGAAAGUACUACCCAAUCAUGUGGGAAAGCCUUUACUGAAGAAGUCAAUGGGACCAGCCCACUGGGAAAAGAUAGAAGCAAUUAACCAAGCCAUAGUCAAUGAAUAUGAAGUCCAGAGAAAGCUGCUAAUAAAACAUUUGGAUGUCACUGUACAGUCCUUCGGUUGGUCUGACAGAGCUAAGAGUCAGACAGAAAAGUUAGCCAAGGCCUACCAGCCGAGGCGCUCAGUCUUAUCUCCCAAAAGUACUGUUUCUGUUGCUCAUCUCUUGGCUGCAAGACAAGACUUAUCAAAGAUCUUGAGGACAGGCAGCGGUUCUAUAAGAGAGAAGACAGCCUGUGCCAUCAAUAAGGUGUUGAUGGGCAGGGUGCCCGAAAGAGGCAGUAGACUUAAUGAAAUCGAACCUCCACCCCCAGAGAUGCUGCCAUGGCAGAAAAGGCAAGAUGGGCCCCAGCAGCAAGCAGGAGGCCGAGGAGGAGGGAGAGGUGGCUAUGAACAUUCCUCAUAUGGAGGACAAGGAGGUCAUGAACAAGAAGGAGGGAGAGGCGGAUGUGGUGGCUACGAUCAUGGUGGCUGAGG